UCACCCAAUAACUCUAUUUUCCAUUCCUAUUUUACCUUUCUUAUGCCUAAUUUACAAAAGUUUGCCCGACUGUUAAUUAAUUUUUCACUACAUUUAAAAAAAGGCUUUGGUUUUCUGGUUUCUGGUUACAGUGUGAAAAUGACCUCAAAGACCUGACAGUGUUGCUUCAGGGAAAAUGGGGAUUUGCCAGGUGUCUUCCUUGAAGACAAUUGAUAUUACACAGUUGUAGUAUCACAUCACCUCUGGGCCUGUCUAAAGAUUUAAAAUCUAUUGAGAUUUUCUGGGAAGACCCGGAAGAUGUAGGAUGAAGUUUUCCUUGACUGCAAAGCUGUUUGCUGCGAACAAAUAGAAACAAAGCUA